rnacentral:rRNA from 1 species
UUUAGGGGGGACUGCGGAGGUCAUUAAAUGAUAGUACUGGCCCUAAGGUGUGGUAAUACAUGCCGGUGUGGCUUCACGUCUAUUACCCUUGUUUUUCGAGUACCUAUGUUUCCUUGGUGGGCUUGCCCACCAAUUGGACACCCUAUUAAACCUUUUUAAUUUUUAAUUAGCGUCUGAAUAAACUUAAUAAUUACAACUUUCAACAACGGAUCUCUUGGUUCUGGCAUCGAUGAAGAACGCAGCGAAAUGCGAUAAGUAGUGUGAAUUGCAGAAUUCAGUGAAUCAUCGAAUCUUUGAACGCACAUUGCGCCCCUUGGUAUUCCAUGGGGCAUGCCUGUUCGAGCGUCAUUUGUACCCUCAAGCUAUGCUUGGUGUUGGGUGUUUGUCCUCUCCAUUGCGUUUGGACUCGCCUUAAAGCAAUUGGCAGCCAGUGUUUUGGUUUUAAGCGCAGCACAUUUUGCGUCUUACUCCCUUGAAUACUAGCAUCCAUUAAGCCUUUUUAUCACUUUUUGACCUCGGAUCAGGAGGGAUACCCGCUGAACUUAAGCAUAUCAAUAAGCCGGAAGGAA